rnacentral:rRNA from 1 species
UACGUAGGGGGCAAGCGUUAUCCGGAUUUACUGGGUGUAAAGGGUGCGUAGCCGGAAAUAAAAGUCAGAUGUGAAAGCCCCGAGGCUCAACUUCGGGACUGCAUUUGAAACUCUAUUUCUAGAGUGCAGGAGAGGAAAGUGGAAUUCCUAGUGUAGCGGUGAAAUGCGUAGAUAUUAGGAGGAACACCAGUGGCGAAGGCGACUUUCUGGACUGUAACUGACGGUGAGGCACGAAAGCGUGGGGAGCAAACAGGAUUAGAUACCCCUGUAGU